GUCUACAACUGUACCACCCUGAAUGCACCUGAUCUUGGAAGCUAAGCAGGGUUGGGCUUGGUUAGUACUUGGAUGAGAGACUGCCUGGGAAUACCAGGUGCUUGUAGGCU
rnacentral:rRNA from 1 species